UGCGCCUUCAAAGGAAGGUGAACUUAAGAGUAAAAGCAGCUAAUGAGUUAUAGUUUAACAAGGAUGGCUCAGCUAUCAAGAAGCUCCAGACUGGAGUCAAUAAGCUUGUUACUGCUACUUCCUAACUGGUGCAUAGAUAAUUUAACGCCGCUUGUGUGGCAAUCUCCAUCUAUAUGUGACCUGCAAAAGAUAAAUCCUUAAAUAGUAGGUCAAUUGCGAAGCUUUGUUAGUGAUGAUCCGAUGAUCAAGAACCGGAGCACCUUCAAGAUUGGAACUGCAGAGUGGUCGGGUUCUCAGAUGUAAGCUGCACAACAUUAAGCUAUCUCCCCAUCGAUAUUGCACACUUUAACUUGUUACCAUAUUUAGUUCUUUUGUAUGCCUUUAUAGUGGCUUGUUAAUUUACACUGCUGGUUCCUGCAACCUUUUACAAAUUGGUAAAAAUGAAAAUUGAGAGAGGAAAAUUUGUGCUGAA